GUUACCGGUGCUGGACCAUGUAUAAGUCUCCUGGAAUGGAGUGUCGCAGAGGGUGAGAAUCCCGUGUUUGACAUGGACCGCCAGUGCGUUGUGGUGCGCUCUCAAAGAGUCGAGUUGUUUGGGAAUGCAGCUCUAAAUGGGUGGUAAACUCCAUCUAAAGCUAAAUAUUGGCGAGAGACCGAUAGCGAACAAGUACCGUGAGGGAAAGAUGAAAAGGACUUUGGAAAGAGAGUUAAACAGUAUGUGAAAUUGUUGAAAGGGAAACGCUUGAAGUCAGUUAUGUCGGGUAGGGAUCAGCCUGGCAGAUUGCUGGGUGAAUUGCCUAGUCUGGCAGGCCAACGUCAGUUUCGACUGGUAGAAAAGAGCAUAGGGAAUGUGGCACCCUUGGGUGUGUUAUAGCCUUGUGUCAUAUGUGGCAGUCGGGACUGAGGAACGCAGCGCGCCGAUCCGGCAGGGUUUCGACCACGUUCGCGCUUAGGAUGUUGGCAUUUAAUGGCUUCAAUCGACCCGUCUUGAAACACGGACCAAGGAGUCU
rnacentral:rRNA from 1 species